rnacentral:sRNA from 1 species
AAAAAUUCUGAUAUACACAUGUAUACAGUCUGUACACACACUGCAUUUUGCUUGGGCAUAAUUUAAGUACAGAUGUAUAAUUCAUAAUAAGAUUAAUUUCAGUUUUUGUUAAGAGAGUUCAUAUCUUAGAUUUGUUGUUGUUGAUGGUUGUUUUGUUUGUUUGAUUCGUAAUUUCAUGGACUGAAUGUAAAGAUUAUAAGGAAAAUGCAGAGAGAGAGAGAGAGAGAGAGAGAGAGAGAGAGAGAGAGAGAGAGAGAGAGGGGGGGGGGUGGUGAAUGUGUGUGUGUCUGUUUACAACUUUACAACAAUCCUAGAUUAUAAAUAUUCUUCAAAUAAUUUGAUUAUUUAUUAUAUAAAUGACAAUUGAUUGAU